rnacentral:rRNA from 1 species
AGGAUUUUCUUAGUAGCGGCGAGCGAAAAGAAAACAGUUCAGCACUAAGGUGUUUUGUUAUUUUAACAAAUACACGAUGCAGUGUAUGGAAUGUCUAUUCAUCUAAUAUGAUAAAUUAAUGAUUUAAGUCCUUCUUAAAUGAGGCCAUUUACCCAUAGAGGGUGCCAGGCCCGUAUAACAUUAAUGAUUAUUAGAAGAUAUUUCCAAAGAGUCGUGUUGCUUGAUAGUGCAGCACUAAGUGGGUGGUAAACUCCAUCUAAAACUAAAUAAAACCAUGAGACCGAUAGCAAACAAGUACCGUGAGGGAAAGUUGAAAAGAACUCUGAAUAGAGAGUCAAAGAGUACGUGAAACUGCUUAGAGGUUAAGCCCGAUGAACCUGAAUAUCCAUUAUGGAAAAUUCAUCAAUAAUAAUAAAUUAUUUUUUAAAAUAAUAUAUAAAUAUUGUGCAAUUUUUCCAUAUAAGGACAUUGUAAUCUGUUAAUGUUUAUUAUUGUCUUAUCAUAAGAUCAUUUACUUAAGUUUUAUUAAAUAUUUAAUAUUUAUAUUAAAUAAUAGUGAAAUGUAGAUGUAUCGGAUAAGCCAUUGACAGAUAAUAUAUGUAUAAUGCUUAAAUUCUUUUGAAUUUUAUAAAAAUAAUUUAUUAUAUAUUAAUAUUUUAUUUUAUAUGCAUUUAUAUUAUUAACAAUGCGAUAGAUUCAGGAUACCUUCGGGACCCGUCUUGAAACACGGACCAAGGAGUCUAACAUAUGUGCAAGUCAUUGGGUUAUUAAAACCUAAAGGCGUAAUUAACUUAACUGGUUUAAUGGGAUCAGUUUAUAUUUAUGUAUUUUUAUUAAUACAAAUAUAUAUUCAAUCCCGGGGCGUUCCAUAUAGUUAUGUAUAAUAAUAUUUUAUAUUAUUUAUGCCUCUAACUGGAGCGUACCUUGAGCAUAUAUGCUGUGACCCGAAAGAUGGUGAACUAUACUUGAUCAGGUUGAAGUCAGGGGAAACCCUGAUGGAAGACCGAAACAGUUCUGACGUGCAAAUCGAUUGUCAGAAUUGAGUAUAGGGGCGUAAGACCAAUCGAACCAUCUAGUAGCUGGUUCCCUCCGAAGUUUCCCUCAGGAUAGCUGGUGCAUUUAAUAAUUAUAUAAAAUAAUCUUAUCUGGUAAAGCGAAUGAUUAGAGGCCUUAGGGUCGAAACGACCUUAACCUAUUCUCAAACUUUAAAUGGGUAAGAACCUCACCUUUCUUGAUAAUGAAGGUCGAGGUUGUGAUAUAUUGUGCCCAGUGGGCCACUUUUGGUAAGCAGAACUGGCGCUGUGGGAUGAACCAAACGUAAUGUUACGGUGCCCAAAUUAACAACUCAUGCAGAUACCAUGAAAGGCGUUGCUUGCUUAAAACAGCAGGACGGUGGAUAUGGAAGUUGUAAUCCGCUAAGGAGUGUGUAACAACUCACCUGCCGAAGCAACUAGCCCUUAAAAUGGAUGGCGCUUAAGUUGUAUACCUAUACAUUACCGCUAAAGUAAAUGAUUCAUUAUAAUUUGUUAUGAAUUAUAAUGAAUUUUGAAACUUUAGUGAGUAGGAGGGUACAAUGGUGUGCGUAGAAGUGUUUGGCGUAAGCCUGCAUGGAGCCGCCAUUGGUACAGAUCUUGGUGGUAGUAGCAAAUAAUCGAAUGAGACCUUGGAGGACUGAAGUGGAGAAGGGUUUCGUGUGAACAGUGGUUGAUCACGAGUUAGUCGGUCCUAAGUUCAAGGCGAAAGCCGAAAAUUUUUAAGUUACAUUAUUAAUUUAAUAUACUUAAAUAUUUUUGAACGAAAGGGAAUACGGUUCCAAUUCCGUAACCUGUUUAGUAUACGUUUGUUAUUAAAAAUGGGCCUUGUGCUCAUCCUGGCAACAGAAACAACCAUAAAGAAGCCGUCGAGAGAUAUCGAAAGAGUUUUCUUUUCUGUUUUAUAGUUGUACUACCAUGGAAGUCUUUCGAAGAGAGAUAUGGUAGAUGAACUAGAAGAGCAUGGCAUUUACUGUUGUGUCGAUAUUUUCUCCUCGGACCUUGAAAAUUUAUGGUGGGGUCACGCAAAUUUCUAAACAGGCCGUACCGAUAUCCGCAGCUGGUCUCCAAGGUGAAGAGUCUCUAGUCGAUAGAAUAAUGUAGGUAAGGGAAGUCGGCAAAUUAGAUCCGUAACUUCGGGAUAAGGAUUGGCUCUGAAGAUUGAGAUAGUCUGGCUUGAUUGGGAAACAAUAUUAUGGUUUAUAUGCUCGUUCUGGGUAAAUAGAAAUUUUUUUAUAAAAUUUUGUUCCUCGGAUAGUUUAGUUAUAUAACCAAUUGUGGAAAUUUCUUGCUAAUAAUAUAAUUAAUUAUUUUUUUAUUUUUUUUAAUAAAAGGAAAUAAGAAAAAAAAUUUUAUGUUAAGGACUAUCAAUUAACAAUCAAUUCAGAACUGGCACGGACUUGGGGAAUCCGACUGUCUAAUUAAAACAAAGCAUUGUGAUGGCCCUAACGGGUGUUGACACAAUGUGA